UACGUAGGGCGCAAGCGUUGUCCGGAAUUAUUGGGCGUAAAGAGCUCGUAGGCGGCCAGUUGCGUCUGCUGUGAAAUCCCGGGGCUCAACCCCGGGCGUGCAGUGGAUACGGGCUGGCUAGAGGCAGGCAGGGGAGAACGGAAUUCCCGGUGUAGCGGUGAAAUGCGCAGAUAUCAGGAGGAACACCAAUGGCGAAGGCAGCUCGCUGGGACGUGACUGACGCUGAGACGCGAAAGCGUGGGGAGCAAACAGG
rnacentral:rRNA from 1 species